UAGUUCAGACCGUAAACGAUGCCAUCUGGCGAUCCGCCGGCGUUAUGUUUGACCCGGCGGGCAGCCACCGGUAAACCUUUAAGUUGGGUUCCGGGGGAAGUAUGGUUGCAAAGCUGAAACUUAAAGGAAUUGACGGAAGGGCACCACCAGGAGUGGAGCCUGCGGCUUAAUUUGACUCAACACGGGGAAACUCACCCGGCCCGGACACCGUAAGGAUUGACAGAUUGAGAGCUCUUUCUUGAUUCGGUGGGUGGUGGUGCAUGGCCGUUCUUAGUUGGUGGAGCGAUUUGUCUGGUUUAUUCCGAUAACGAACGAGACUCUAGCCUACUAAAUAGACACUGCUUCUUUGGAGCGGUGAACUUCUUAGAGGGACAAGCGACGUUUAGUCGCACGAGAUUGAGCAAUAACAGGUCUGUGAUGCCCUUAGAUGUCCGGGGCUGCACGCGCGCUACACUGAAGGCAUCAUCAUGUUUCUUUUCCUACCCCGGAAGGGGCGGGUAACCCGAUGAAACGCCUUCGUGAUUGGGAUAGGGACUUGCAAUUAUUUCCCUUGAACGAGGAAUUCCUAGUAAGUGCGAGUCAUCAGCUCGCGCUGAUUACGUCCCUGCCCUUUGUACACACCGCCCGUCGCUACUACCGAUUGAGUGACUCCUAAAGGAGUUGGGACUGGCCCUGUGCGGCCGCAAGGUUGCGCAGGCUGCUGGAAACUUCUCCAAUGGGAUUUACUUAGAGGAAGUAAAAGUCGUAACAAGGUUUCCGUAGGUGAACCUGCGGAAGGAUCAUUACCUAUCGACACACGUCGAUUCUUGGGCUGAGUCCGGCCCACUUAUGGAGAACCUCGCCCUGCGAGGGUCUCUGCCGGACGAGGCUAACGGGACCGCUCUCGUGGAAGAGCGGUAACCGAAACGUGUUCUUCACACCCGCAAGCAUCGCCCGCUAGCCCGACUCUACCUUGCUAGCAUGACUCCGCGAUGUUCACUUGCAUGACUGGUGGAGAGUUCGUGGAGGUUGCCGCUACCCGGCCCUUCGAGUGGAUGUGACCCACUCAUGUUUCUAAGGGUUGGACUUUCGCAUUGCGGUCUCUCCAAUGGGUGCCAUCGUGGGUACCUGUACUACUGUGUGGUCCUCGCGGUCCACCCCUACCGCGCCAACUCGGGACUCAGUAGUGAACCACCAGCUCUGGUCUGCCUUGUGGCGACGUAGCAUGACUCUAGUAGACACCCCUUGCAAGCUGCCCGCCUCAUGACUCUGGGUUGAGCCUCUCCGCGAGGCUGUAGCCCCCGAGGCCCGACUCUGCGCUUGCGAGGAAGGACUGCGCCCCGCUACGCCGGCAUGACUCUGGCGGACUAGAGAGAGGGACUGCCCGUCUCUUGCCUUAUGACUCUAGGACACUAUGUGUCUAGCAAUUGCCCGCCGGCCCGACUCUACUCGGGUUGCCCUUAGAAUCCGUUAGGCGCCCGCAAGCAUCGCCCGCUAGCCCGACUCUACCUUGCUAGCAUGACUCCGCGAUGUUCACUUGCAUGACUGGCCUAGUGGUUUCAAAGGGGUAACUCGUUUAGCCGGCAUGUUUCGCUUGCUAGACAUUUGUAUCCGCCCCAAGGCAAGUGGCAUGACUCUUUGCGUUCUUCUCUCUGGCCUGCCGCCCGUCGGUUCAGUGCGCCACAAGGUUCAGUGGCUGGUGGAAGGUUCAAUGAACUGCCCGUCGGAAGGUUUACCUUCCGGUACCCGUAAGCUAGUGUGACCACACUAGUGGAAGCGGCUUUUUCGAGACCUGUCCUCGUGGCUGGGUCGCUCGGCCGCAAGUAGCAGAAGGUUCUCGGCCCCGUUACGCUCUUGCCGUUUCUCUUGACGAAGCCGCCCGCAAGCACCGCCCGCUAGCACGACUCUUCCCUGCUAGCAUGACUCCGCGGUGUAAACUUGCAUGUUUCUGGCCUAGUCGAGUCCCUUAGAGCGCAGCAUGACUCUACGAGAACUGGAAGUUGCUUGCGGCCCGUUAUGGGCAGUCCAGUUUACCACGCCGACUCUACGCAGGUCUCGCUGACUGUAUAGCCGUGAGGGUAGUCACACCGCGCAGCCUAGCUGCCGGGGCGGUCGCCCACACUCCAUUUUAACUACUUCAAUACUACUGCUCGC
rnacentral:rRNA from 1 species